rnacentral:tRNA from 1 species
GGGCCUGUAGCUCAAUUGGCUAGAGCGUCACAAUGGCAUUGUGAAGGUUGUGGGUUCAAGUCCCAUCAGGUCCA